rnacentral:rRNA from 1 species
UACGUAGGGGGCAAGCGUUGUCCGGAUUUAUUGGGCGUAAAGAGCGUGUAGGCGGCCAAACAGGUCAGCUGUGAAAACUCGAGGCUCAACCUCGAGACGUCGGUUGAAACCGUUUGGCUAGAGUCCGGAAGAGGAGAGUGGAAUUCCCGGUGUAGCGGUGAAAUGCGCAGAUAUCGGGAAGAACACCCGUGGCGAAGGCGGCUCUCUGGGACGGUACUGACGCUGAGACGCGAAAGCUAGGGAGCAAACAGG